CUAUACCAGCGGGGACUGGCAGGUCAGAAAUGUGAUCUGAUAAGCUGAAAAGUACCGCCACCAAACUGGGCAUCUCUAGACGCAAAUACAAAGAGAGUAAAGAGAUGGACGUCGGAACCAGCACUGUGACAAGUUCAGGUGGAUUCUGAACCCCUGGACCACAAGGGAAGUCCGAGACAUCUAAAUAUUGACUGAAUAAGUAUGAAGCAUUUGGGAUCUUAGUUCCCCAACUAGGGAUCAAACCAGCAGCCCCUGCAGUAGAAGCACGGAGUCCUAACCACUGGACCACUGGACCACUGGGGAAGUCCUCUACUUUUUUUUUUUAACUAAAC
ensembl:lncRNA